rnacentral:rRNA from 1 species
AGCAUGUGGUUUAAUUCGAAGCAACGCGAAGAACCUUACCAGGUCUUGACAUCCCGAUGCUAUUUCUAGAGAUGAAAGUUACUUCGGUACAUCGGUGACAGGUGGUGCAUGGUUGUCGUCAGCUCGUGUCGUGAGAUGUUGGGUUAAGUCCCGCAACCGAGCGCAACCCCUAUUGUUAGUUGCCAUCAUUCAGUUGGGCACUCUAGCGAGACUACCGGUAAUAAACCGGAGGAAGUGGGGAUGACGUCAAAUCAUCAUGCCCCUUAUGACCUGGGCUACACACGUGCUACAAUGGUUGGUACAACGAGUUGCGAGUCGGUGGCGGCGAGCUAAUCUCUUAAAGCCAAUCUCAGUUCGGAUUGUAGGCUGCAACUCGCCUACAUGAAGUCGGAAUCGCUAGUAAUCGCGGAUCAGCACGCCGCGGUGAAUACGUUCCCGGGCCUU